rnacentral:tRNA from 1 species
UGGCUCAGUUGGUACAGCAUGGGACUCUUGAUCUCAAGGUUGUGAGUUCUAGCCUCAC